GGAUAGAAACCCGGAUAAGGAUGAGAAUCGUAGUAGGUGUUAAUAUCCCAAUUGGAUGUUUGUGUUAUAUUUUCGGUGUCAGCCAUUUCCAAACGUUCGAAUUUUUUUUCUUCCGCCGGGUAUAGUGUAAUAGACGUAAGAUGUGUGGAAUCGGGUGUUUCAUAAACUGGUUCGGCGCUCUCAAUGCGUGUAAACGUAACCUCACCACGAUGGAUUUCAUUACGGUAGCGUUUUAUGCCAUAACCAAAGUAGUCGAAGACAUCAGCAUUAAAUUGUUGAUGGUGCUCGGCCCACUGACCGAUCACUUCCACCUUGACCGAAGUACGUGGGUCCAUGAAACGUUCGAAAUAAGCUUUCUAUUGAAUGAAAGUAGAGCUCAUAACAUAUAUUAUGUCAUAUGGAACUUACGUGAUAAAAUUGAAAUUCUACGGCGUGGACGGAGUCGAAACUUAGAACUUUGUGUUGCUACUGGUUUGAUUGCAACUGAAUAUUUCGUAGCGCGUAUCUCACUACCUUGUUAAUGAGGUAAACGUAUCCAAAAGGAAACCUCGGAGACACUAUAAAACAUAAACAUACAUACAUAUAUAAAUGAUCAGCAUGGCGAUCUGAGUUGAUUUAGUCGUGUCCGUAAAUCUGUAUAUACGCGAACUAGUCCCUCAGUUUAUGAGAUAUCGAUCUGAAAUUUUGCACACGGCCUUUUCUCUCCAAGAAGCUACUUAUUUGCCGGAACCGUAAAUAUCGGACCACUACAGCAUAUAACAUAUAGUGAUCGAUCAAAAUCAAGUUCUUACAUAUAUGGAAACUUUUUUAUGGAGCUUCGGAGCAACGGAGUUAACGUUUUUUUUUGUUUAAUUCUUAUGUAUAUAUGUGUAAUUUUGUAUAAGAGUUGAUGUUUAAUAAGAUAAUCGUUUAUUUCCCUAAAUUUA